UACAGAGGUCCCGAGCGUUGUUCGGAUUCACUGGGCGUAAAGGGUGCGUAGGUGGCCUGAAAAGUUUGAUGUGAAGCUCAGGGCUUAACCCUGAAAUGGCAUUGAAUACUGUUGGCUGGAGGUUUGGAGGGGGACUGGAAUUCUUGGUGUAGCAGUGAAAUGCGUAGAUAAUCGGGAGGAACACCAGUGGCGAAGGCGGCGAUCUGGGUCGAUACUGACGCUGAGGUGCGAAAGCGUGGGAGCAAACAGG
rnacentral:rRNA from 1 species